rnacentral:rRNA from 1 species
AUUGAACGCUGGCGGCAUGCCUUACACAUGCAAGUCGAACGGCAGCACGGGAGCAAUCCUGGUGGCGAGUGGCGAACGGGUGAGUAAUGUAUCGGAACGUGCCCAGUCGUGGGGGAUAACGUAGCGAAAGCUACGCUAAUACCGCAUACGAUCUGUGGAUGAAAGCGGGGGACCGUAAGGCCUCGCGCGAUUGGAGUGGCCGAUAUCAGAUUAGGUAGUUGGUGAGGUAAAGGCCUACCAAGCCGACGAUCUGUAGCUGGUCUGAGAGGACGACCAGCCACACUGGGUCUGAGACACGGCCCAGACUCCUACGGGAGGCAGCAGUGGGGAAUUUUGGACAAUGGGCGCAAGCCUGAUCCAGCAAUGCCGCGUGCAGGAUGAAGGCCUUCGGGUUGUAAACUGCUUUUGUACGGAGCGAAAAGGCUCUCUCUAAUACAGGGGGCUCAUGACGGUACCGUAAGAAUAAGCACCGGCUAACUACGUGCCAGCCGCCGCAGUAA